GACGAACGCUGGCGGCGUGCUUAACACAUGCAAGUCGAACGGAAAGGCCCUGCUUGCAGGGUGCUCGAGUGGCGAACGGGUGAGUAACACGUGGGUGAUCUGCCCCUUACUUUGGGAUAAGCCUGGGAAACUGGGUCUAAUACUGGAUAGGACCAUGCUGUAGGUGGCGUGGUGGAAAGAUUAGUUUCGGUAAGGGAUGAGCUCGCGGCCUAUCAGCUUGUUGGUGGGGUAAUGGCCUACCAAGGCGUCGACGGGUAGCCGGCCUGAGAGGGUGGACGGCCACAUUGGGACUGAGAUACGGCCCAGACUCCUACGGGAGGCAGCAGUGGGGAAUAUUGCACAAUGGGCGCAAGCCUGAUGCAGCGACGCCGCGUGGGGGAUGACGGCCUUCGGGUUGUAAACUCCUUUCAGCCAUGACGAAGCCCUUGUGGUGACGGUAGUGGUAGAAGAAGCACCGGCUAACUACGUG
rnacentral:rRNA from 1 species